UACGUAGGGGGCAAGCGUUGUCCGGAUUCAUUGGGCGUAAAGAGCGUGUAGGCGGCCAGGUAGGUCGGUUGUGAAAACUGGAGGCUCAACCUUCAGACGUCGACCGAAACCAUCUGGCUAGAGUCCGGGAGAGGAGAGUGGAAUUCCUGGUGUAGCGGUGAAAUGCGCAGAUAUCAGGAGGAACACCGGUGGCGAAGGCGGGACUCUGGGCCGGAUACUGACGCUGAGGAGCGAAAGCGUGGGGAGCAAACAGG
rnacentral:rRNA from 1 species